GCCACAUGAUGUUAUUUCGAGGAGUGAGCGCUUUGCGCAAGGAUGACCUUAAUCUAUCACCAGUAACUGAUGGCU
ensembl:snoRNA SNORD83 Small nucleolar RNA SNORD83